GUGCCAGCCGCUGCGGUAAUACGGAGGGUGCAAGCGUUAUCCGGAUUCACUGGGUUUAAAGGGUGCGUAGGCGGAAUGGUAAGUCCGUGGUGAAAUCUCCGAGCUUAACUCGGAAACUGCCGUGGAUACUAUCAAUCUUGAAUGUUGUGGAGGUUUGCGGAAUAUGUCAUGUAGCGGUGAAAUGCUUAGAUAUGACAUAGAACACCGAUUGCGAAGGCAGCAGGCUACACAAAUAUUGACGCUGAGGCACGAAAGCGUGGGAUCAAACAGGAUUAGAUACCCUGGUACGUCCACGCCCUAAACGAUGAUUACUCGACAUACGCGAUAUACAGUGUGUGUCUGAGCGAAAGCAAUUAAGUAA
rnacentral:rRNA from 1 species